rnacentral:rRNA from 1 species
UAGGGAAUCUUCCACAAUGGACGCAAGUCCGAUGGAGCAACGCCGCGUGAGUGAAGAAGGUCUUCGGAUCGUAAAACUCUGUUGUUAGAGAAGAACACGAGUGAGAGUAACUGUUCAUUCGAUGACGGUAUCUAACCAGCAAGUCACGGCUAACUACGUGCCAGCAGCCGCGGUAAUACGUAGGUGGCAAGCGUUGUCCGGAUUUAUUGGGCGUAAAGGGAACGCAGGCGGUCUUUUAAGUCUGAUGUGAAAGCCUUCGGCUUAACCGGAGUAGUGCAUUGGAAACUGGAAGACUUGAGUGCAGAAGAGGAGAGUGGAACUCCAUGUGUAGCGGUGAAAUGCGUAGAUAUAUGGAAGAACACCAGUGGCGAAAGCGGCUCUCUGGUCUGUAACUGACGCUGAGGUUCGAAAGCGUGGGUAGCAAACAGGAUUAGAUACCCUGGUAGUCCACGCCGUAAACGAUGAAUGCUAGGUGUUGGAGGGUUUCCGCCCUUCAGUGCCGCAGCUAACGCAAUAAGCAUUCCGCCUGGGGAGUACGACCGCAAGGUUG